UACGAAGGACCCGAGCGUUAUCCGGAUUUAUUGGGUUUAAAGGGUGCGUAGGCGGAUUAGUAAGUCAGUGGUGAAAGCCCAUCGCUUAACGGUGGAACUGCCAUUGAUACUGCUAGUCUUGAGUAUGGUUGAGGUGGGCGGAAUGUGUCAUGUAGCGGUGAAAUGCUUAGAUAUGACACAGAACACCAAUUGCGAAGGCAGCUCGCUAAGCCAUAACUGACGCUGAUGCACGAAAGCGUGGGGAGCAAACAGG
rnacentral:rRNA from 1 species